GGCCGGUUAGCUCAGUCUGUUAAGCAUGGUGCUGGUAACACCAAGGUCGCAGGUUCGAUUCCCGUUUGGUCA
rnacentral:tRNA from 1 species